UACAGAGGGGGCAAGCGUUGUUCGGAAUUACUGGGCGUAAAGGGCGCGUAGGCGGCCUGUUAAGUCGAACGUGAAAUCCCCGGGCUCAACCCGGGAACUGCGUCCGAUACUGGCAGGCUUGAAUCCGGGAGAGGGAUGCGGAAUUCCAGGUGUAGCGGUGAAAUGCGCAGAUAUCAGGAGGAACACCAACGGCGAAAGCACUCUGCUGGGCCGACACUGACACUGAGAGACGAAAGCUAGGGGAGCAAAUGGG
rnacentral:rRNA from 1 species